rnacentral:rRNA from 1 species
AGUGAACGCUGGCGGUAGGCCUAACACAUGCAAGUCGAACGGCAGCACAGUAAGAGCUUGCUCUUACGGGUGGCGAGUGGCGGACGGGUGAGGAAUACAUCGGAAUCUACUUUUUCGUGGGGGAUAACGUAGGGAAACUUACGCUAAUACCGCAUACGACCUACGGGUGAAAGCAGGGGAUCUUCGGGCCUUGCGCGAUUGAAUGAGCCGAUGUCGGGUUAGCUAGUUGGCGGGGUAAAGGCCCACCAAGGCGACGAUCCGUAGCUGGUCUGAGAGGAAGAUCAGCCACACUGGAACUGAGAAACGGUCCAGACUCCGACGGGAGGCAGCAGUGGGGAAUAUUGGACAAUGGGCGCAAGCCUGAUCCAGCCAUACCGCGUGGGUGAAGAAGGCCUUCGGGUUGUAAAGCCCUUUUGUUGGGAAAGAAAAGCAGCAGGUUAAUACCCCGCUGUUCUGACGGUACCCAAAGAAUAAGCACCGGCUAACUUCGUG